rnacentral:rRNA from 1 species
CAAUAGCGUAUAUUUAAGUUGUUGCAGUUAAAAAGCUCGUAGUCGGAUUUUGGCUGAGAACGAUCGGUCCGCCGUUAGGUGUGCACUGAUUGGUCUCAGCUUCCUGGUGAGGAGGUGUGCUUCACGGCCACUUAGUCACCGUGGUUACUUUGAAAAAAUUAGAGUGUUCAAAGCGGGCUUACGCUUGAAUAUAUUAGCAUGGAAUAACACCAUAGGACUCCUGUCCUAUUUCGUUGGUCUCGGGACGGGAGUAAUGAUUAAGAGGAACAGUUGGGGGCAUUCGUAUUUCAUUGUCAGAGGUGAAAUUCUUGGAUUUAUGAAAGACGAACUACUGCGAAAGCAUUUGCCAAGGAUGUUUUCAUUGA